GAAGUAAAAGUCGUAACAAGGUUUCCGUAGGUGAACCUGCGGAAGGAUCACUAGUGAUUAAAUCGAGAGCGUCUUCAUUGACCUCUCACCCUUCACAUCCACAUACACCUGUGCACCGUUUGGCUCUUAUAAAAGACGCAAGUCUGCAAUGAGAGUCAUCAAUUUUAUACAUACCCCAGUCUUAUGAAUGUAACAGUUUUAAUAAACAUAAUAAAACUUUUAACAACGGAUCUCUUGGUUCUCGCAUCGAUGAAGAACGCAGCGAAAUGCGAUAAGUAAUGUGAAUUGCAGAAUUCAGUGAAUCAUCGAAUCUUUGAACGCACCUUGCGCUCCUUGGUAUUCCGAGGAGCAUGCCUGUUUGAGUGUCAUGAAACUCUCAACCUUCAACUUUUUUAUUAAGGCUGAAGGCUUGGACUUGGGCGCUGCUGGUUUUUACUAACCGGCUCGCCUGAAAUGAAUUAGCAGAUCCUUUUUGUAAUCGGUUCCACUCGACGUGAUAAGUAUUUCGCCGAGGACAUACGCAAGUAUGGCCGAGAUAAAGGAAGUCUUUAGAUCCGCUUCUAAUUGCGUUAGAUAGAGCUUGCUCUACUAAACCCCAUUUUAUGAUCUGGCCUCAAAUCAGGUAGGACUACCCGCUGAACUUAAGCAUAUCAAUAAGCGGAG
rnacentral:rRNA from 1 species